UACAGAGGUCCCAAGCGUUGUUCGGAAUCACUGGGCGUAAAGGGUGCGUAGGCGGGUCUUUAAGUCAGGGGUGAAAUCCUGGAGCUCAACUCCAGAACUGCCUUUGAUACUGGCGAUCUUGAGUCCGGGAGAGGUGAGUGGAACUCCGAGUGUAGAGGUGAAAUUCGUAGAUAUCGGGAGGAACACCGGUGGCGAAGGCGGCGACCUGGGUCGAGACUGACGCUGAGGCGCGAAAGCGUGGGGAGCAAACAGG
rnacentral:rRNA from 1 species